rnacentral:rRNA from 1 species
AUACGUAGGGGGCGAGCGUUGUCCGGAAUGAUUGGGCGUAAAGGGCGCGUAGGCGGCCCGGUAAGUCUGGAGUGAAAGUCCUGUUUUUAAGAUGGGAAUUGCUUUGGAUACUGUCGGGCUUGAGUGCAGGAGAGGUAAGUGGAAUUCCCAGUGUAGCGGUGAAAUGCGUAGAGAUUGGGAGGAACACCAGUGGCGAAGGCGACUUACUGGACUGUAACUGACGCUGAGGCGCGAAAGUGUGGGGAGCAAACAGGAUUAGAUACCCUGGUAGUCCACACUGUAAACGAUGGAUGCUAGGUGUAGGGGGUAUCGACCCCUUCUGUGCCGCAGUCAACACAAUAAGCAUUCCGCCUAGGGAGUACGGCCGCAAGGUUGAAACUCAAAGGAAUUGACGGGG